rnacentral:lncRNA from 10 species
CUUAGAUGGACCGAUGGGUGUGAAUCCCUUGAGAGCAAGGCUGCAUCUUCUCUCUUGCACUUGCCAGCAUCUGGCACAGCUGGGUAUUAAUCACACAAGACACAACUCCAGCGGUGGCGGCCCUGGAUGUCUGAAAUGCUGUCCAGAACAUUGAGAGAAAGCCAAAGAAGGAAAGCUGCCCUCAAACAUGCCCAGGAUCUUGCUGGAGAUGGAAACUAACAAGGAUGGAAACAUGACAGCAGAAAAAUACAGACCAGUUUGAAGUCUGCCCACCUGGGAGUCAAGCCACAUUGAAAAUCAAUAAGGCAUCAAGGCCGGGAGCUCGGAGAGCCGACUGGAUACCUGCGUGGGCCUCCUUUAAAGAGGUGAAAGCUUUGAAGUUGCAGACGACCAAUAAAAAUACAGCUGGCAUUUACAGCUUCAACUCCUCCUGCUUUUGCUUUUCACCGUGUUGCUAAAGCUGCCUACAAAGCUGCUCCAGGCCGGACUCUUGGCCCAGGUUGACAGAGCCCAUUCCCAUUCCAUGGACAAUAACAGGGGCUCUUGGUGUCCUCUGGCCAGGGAUUGGUGAUCAACUUUAGGCACGCUGGCAAUUUCCCAGGACAACCCCGUCUUAGGUUCUGAACAUCAGAGGCAAUGGCUAAGGUCCCCCAAAGCACUUUGAGCUGGGCUGCUGGAAUUUCACACAUAGGUAGUCCUGCCUCUGUCUUCAGCA